rnacentral:rRNA from 1 species
GACGAACGCUGGCGGCGUGCCUAAUACAUGCAAGUUGGACGCAGUUUCGAACGGGUGAGUAACGCGUAGGUAACUACCUAUUAGAGGGGUAUAACUAUUGGAUACGAUAGCUAAUAUCGCAUACUAGUUGAUGGACCUUCGUUGUAUUGGCUAGUCGGUAGGGUAAACGCCUACCUUGCCAACGAUACAUAGCCGACCUGGGAGGGUGAUCGGCCACACUGGGGCUGAGACGCGGCCCAGACUCCUACGGGGGGCAGCAGUAGGGAAUCUUCGGCAAUGGGGGGAACACUGACCGAGCAACGCCGCGUGAGGGAAGAAGGUUUUCGGAUCGUAGAGCUCUGUUGUUAAGGAAGCGGUACUUAAAAAGAAAGGGACGGCUAACUACGUGCCAGCAGCCGCGGUAAUAC